rnacentral:rRNA from 1 species
GUGGGGGAUAUUGCGCAAUGGGGGGAACCCUGACGCAGCGACGCCGCGUGGGUGAAGAAGGCCUUCGGGUCGUAAAGCCCUGUCCCUGGGGACGAAGGGAUGACGGUACCCGGGGAGGAAGCCCCGGCUAACUACGUGCCAGCAGCCGCGGUAAUACGUAGGGGGCGAGCGUUGUCCGGAGUUACUGGGCGUAAAGGGUGCGUAGGCGGCCUAUUAAGUCAGGUGUGAAAACCCCUGGCUCAACUAGGGGGUUGCACUUGAAACUGAUGGGCUUGAGUGCAGGAGAGGGAAGUGGAAUUCCUGGUGUAGCGGUGAAAUGCGUAGAUAUCAGGAGGAACACCAGUGGCGAAGGCGGCUUUCUGGCCUGUAACUGACGCUGAGGCACGAAAGCGUGGGGAGCAAACAGGAUUAGAAACCCUAGUAGUCC